rnacentral:rRNA from 1 species
AUUGAACGCUGGCGGCAUGCCUUACACAUGCAAGUCGAACGGCAGCAUGGGUGCUUGCACCUGAUGGCGAGUGGCGAACGGGUGAGUAAUACAUCGGAACGUACCCGGAAGUGGGGGAUAACGUAGCGAAAGUUACGCUAAUACCGCAUAUUCUGUGAGCAGGAAAGAGGGGGAUCGCAAGACCUCUUGCUUUCGGAGCGGCCGAUGUCGGAUUAGCUAGUUGGUGAGGUAAAGGCUCACCAAGGCGACGAUCCGGAGCGGGUCUGAGAGGAUGAUCCGCCACACUGGGACUGAGACACGGCCCAGACUCCUACGGGAGGCAGCAGUGGGGAAUUUUGGACAAUGGGCGCAAGCCUGAUCCAGCCAUGCCGCGUGAGUGAAGAAGGCCUUCGGGUUGUAAAGCUCUUUCGGCGGGGAAGAAAUGGUUUCGGUUAAUACCUGGAGCUGAUGACGGUACCCGCAUAAGAAGCACCGGCUAACUACGUGCCAGCCGCCGCCGUAAGAC